GGAUGAACGCUGGCGGCGUGCCUAAUACAUGCAAGUCGAGCGAACAGACGAGGAGCUUGCUCCUCUGACGUUAGCGGCGGACGGGUGAGUAACACGUGGGUAACCUACCUAUAAGACUGGGAUAACUUCGGGAAACCGGAGCUAAUACCGGAUAAUAUUUUGAACCGCAUGGUUCAAAAGUGAAAGAUGGCUCUGCUAUCACUUAUAGAUGGACCCGCGCCGUAUUAGCUAGUUGGUAAGGUAACGGCUUACCAAGGCGACGAUACGUAGCCGACCUGAGAGGGUGAUCGGCCACACUGGAACUGAGACACGGUCCAGACUCCUACGGGAGGCAGCAGUAGGGAAUCUUCCGCAAUGGGCGAAAGCCUGACGGAGCAACGCCGCGUGAGUGAUGAAGGUCUUCGGAUCGUAAAACUCUGUUAUUAGGGAAGAACAUACGUGUAAGUAACUGUGCACGUCUUGACGGUACCUAAUCAGAAAGCCACGGCUAACUACGUGCCAGCAGCCGCGGUAAUACGUA
rnacentral:rRNA from 2 species